rnacentral:rRNA from 1 species
AUUGAACGCUGGCGGAAUGCUUUACACAUGCAAGUCGAGCGGCAGCACGGGGGCAACCCUGGUGGCGAGCGGCGAACGGGUGAGUAAUACAUCGGAACAUGCCCAGUCGUGGGGGAUAACACUUCGAAAGAAGUGCUAAUACCGCAUACGUCCUGAGGGAGAAAGCGGGGGAUCUUCGGACCUCGCGCGAUUGGAGUGGCCGAUGUCAGAUUAGCUAGUUGGUGGGGUAAAGGCCUACCAAGGCAACGAUCUGUAGCUGGUCUGAGAGGAUGAGCAGCCACACUGGGACUGAGACACGGCCGAGACUCCUAAGGGAGGCAGCAGUGGGGAAUUUUGGACAAUGGGGGCAACCCUGAUCCAGCCAUGCCGCGUGAGUGAAGAAGGGCUUCGGGUUGUAAAGCUCUUUCGGCAGGAACGAAACGGCGAGCUCUAACAUAGCUUGCUAAUGACGGUACCUGAAGAAGAAGCACCGGCUAACUACGUGCCAGCCGCCGCAGUAAGAC